rnacentral:rRNA from 1 species
AUGCCCAACUCUGAAACCAACAACGGCACCGUACCCGCCGCCAGCGUAAUUCCCGCCGCUGACCCUGAAUCUGACCGCAAGGUCGAAGAAAAGGAGUCCCGGAAGAGGCUGAAAACCGAAGAAAGGCUCUGCAAGGUCCUGAUGCUUCUCGCGACGUUCGCCGUGAGCAUCACAUACGUCGCCGGACUGAGCACGCCUGGUGGCUUCUGGGACAGCACCGGGGGCAGCCACCGCCCAGGCGACGUGAUUCUCAGGGACCACCACAGCACGCGCCUGACGGUGUUUUUACUCUUUAACACCACGGCGUUCGUGGCGUCCCUGCUAAUCGCCGUGCUGCUCAUCAUCGACGGCAAGAAGCUCCGCGACAAGACGGCUCGGUUUCACGUGCUCUACGUGUGCAUCUUCGUAGCGCUUGUCGGCCUCAUUGGCGCAUACGCCGCUGGCAGCUGCAGGAAGACCGACACCACCGCCUACGUGGUCAGCCUGGUUGGUGCUGUUCUGGCAUACAUCCUGCUCCACGGCUUCUACACUUGGUAUUACUCCAAUUCAGCCCUACAAACUGAUGAAAAUCAGCAGACUGGUGACAGUGGUAGGGAGGCUCUGGACAAGGCUCGCUCUCUUGUUCUACUGCUCGCCACUCUUGCCGCCACCAUCACCUACACAGCGGGGUUGGACCCGCCGGGUGGCGUUUGGCAGGACAACGGUGACGGGCACAUGGCUGGUGACCCCAUCCUCCUCGCGACAAACGCUAGGAGGUACAAGGCCUUCUACUACUGCAACUCGGUUGCGUUUGUGGCCUCAUUGGUGGCCAUCGUCUUGGUCCAGAUGGAGAAGCUAGUCAAGCACCAUGUGCUGGAGGCAGCCAUGAUACUUGACCUGUUUGGCCUCAUCGGUGCAUAUGCCGCUGGGAGCUGCCAAAACGUGAACACCUCCAUUUACGCCAUGGCUUUGGCAGGGGCUGUCUUGAUCUAUGUGGUGAUCCAUGUUGUCUUCUUCACACUGGACCAGAACAACAACGACCAAGAAGAUCAGUUGCUGGAGAAGAAGCGCAAACGGUUGCUCCUCUUCGCGAUCUUGACCGUGACCAUCACCUACCAAGCCGGCCUUACCCCUCCUGGUGGCUUCCUGCUCCAGGACGACAAGCUCGGCCACCAUGCCGGUGACCCGGUCCUCUUGUACAACUACCCACGCCGCUACCAUGCCUUCUUCUAUUGCAACUCGGUGAGCUUCAUGUUGUCCAUCGCCCUCAUCAUCCUCCUGGUGAACCCCAAUUUGUACAGGCCAGCAAUACGAAGCAAUGCGCUAUCUGUUUGUACGGCGGUGGGUUUGCUUUGUUUGAUGGGGGCGUAUGCCGCCGGAAGCACGCAACACAUCAAGACAUCCAUCUACAUUUUCGUGUUGGUGGUCGUGGUCCUCCUCGUUGCAGCCGGACUGCUGCUAGUAUUUUUGUUGAGGGAACUGACUGGACAGGGGGACGACGGAGGAGAAAACAAAAAUGGCAUCUCGGCAGCUGCUGAGCCAUCCAUACCCAUUGAACAGGAGAAAGAAGAAGAAAAGGCAAAGAAGGAACAAGAAGAAAAAGCAAAGAAGAAAGAAGAAGAAAAGGUAAAGAAGGAAGAAGAAGAAGAAGAAAAAGCAAAGAAGGAAAAAAGGAAGAACCACGCGAGGCGCAAAUACCUGAUGCUGCUAGGUAUCUUGGUGGCGAGCAUAGCCUACCAGGCCGGCCUGGAACCACCCGGCGGAGCGUGGCAGAGCAGUGGGAACGGGUACGAGGCGAGUGACCCGGUGAUGCACAACAACAUGAGGCCCCGGUACCUUGUUUUCUUCUACAGCAACUCCAUUUCCUUUGUGGCUUCCAUCGUUGUCAUCAUCAUGUUGCUGCCGCAUUGGCUGCCAGACGAGAGGGAAGAAGAAUGGAAGGAAUGGUCGCUGAAGGUGAUGAACCGGACGAUCAGACUGGAUCUGUUUGCUCUCCUGGUGGCCUAUGCAGCCGGCUCCAACAGGGGGUGGAAGACGUCUGUGAUUGUGGUCGUGCUCAUCAUUGCCGUGCUGAGCUACUUUGCAAUCCAUAUGAUACUAUCAUGUACCGUUUGUCAAGGUAAGAAGACCCGAGGCACAUCUGCAAGCUUACAGCAUGUUGCCAUGACGCAACAGAGCGGCAACCAGAAUCCUCCAGCACAGUGUGAUUCAUUAUCAGUGUGA